GUCAUUGAUUAAAAAUUGUACAUUUUUAAUUUGGCCUUCAAAAAAUUAAAAAAAAUAUGAUUUAUGUUUUUGUUCAUAACUCGCUUAAUUUUAAUCGUACAACUUAUAUUGUAGUGUCAAAUGAAAGCUAAUUAAAUUCUCUCGCAAACUGAUAUAAAAUAUAUAAUACAAAUAUUAAUAUACAAGCAUAAUCAAUGACUAAAAAUUAAAAAUAUAAAUGUAGCGCCUCAAACAAUGAAAUAACAUUUAACGCUUAACGUUUUUAUAAAUAACUCGCUUAAUUUUCAUCCCACAAUGUCAAACUUAGUAUCAAAUUGAAGUUAAUUAAAUUCUCUACCAAACCCAUAUUAAACUUAAUAAAUAAUUAAUUCCAAAUACAUAUUUAAACCCAGUGGCGGAUUAUGCUUCAGUGGGGCCCUAGGCGCAAAUCAAGUUUGGGGCCCCUAAAUCCGAAAAUUUUCAAAAACGGUUAUUAGCCCAGUGAAAUUAAUAGUUUUAGCGUAGGGCGCCGCAAAGUCUACUUCAACAUUCGUUUUUGAUUUUAGACCAUUACUUAAUGUUGCAUACAUUUCAUGUGGAUCUCUAAUAUUUUCUUCUUGUAUGUAUUUUAGAAAAUGAGUUAACUCAUCAGUGAAAUAUUCUGGCUCAAUAUCUUUUUCAUACUUAGACAAUAAUCGCUCUACACAAUUAUUAGUCUCAACACGGCUUAAUUUUAAAUCAAAGAAAAUUUUAAAAUCGUUAAGAACAUUGAUAUAGACAUCGCCCCUUCGAGUAAUUUCUGAUGUUAAUACAUCACAUACAAUAUAAAAAAUGUUGACAAUAAAAAAAUUUCUUGACGAAAA